rnacentral:rRNA from 1 species
UACAGAGGUCUCAAGCGUUGUUCGGAUUCAUUGGGCGUAAAGGGUGCGUAGGCGGCGUGGUAAGUCGGGUGUGAAAUCUCGGAGCUUAACUCCGAAACUGCAUUCGAUACUGCCGUGCUUGAGGACUGGAGAGGAGACUGGAAUUUACGGUGUAGCGGUGAAAUGCGUAGAUAAUCGUAAGGAAGACCAGUGGCGAAGGCGGGUCUCUGGACAGUUCCUGACGCUGAGGCACGAAGGCCAGGGGAGCAAACGGG